rnacentral:rRNA from 1 species
AGCGUACACGGUGGAUGCCCUGGCAGUCAGAGGCGAUGAAGGACGUGCUAAUCUGCGAAAAGCGUCGGUAAGGUGAUAUGAACCGUUAUAACCGGCGAUGUCCGAAUGGGGAAACCCAGUGUGAUUCGUCACACUAUCGUUAACUGAAUACAUAGGUUAACGAGGCGAACCGGGGGAACUGAAACAUCUAAGUACCCCGAGGAAAAGAAAUCAACCGAGAUUCCCCCAGUAGCGGCGAGCGAACGGGGAGCAGCCCAGAGUCUGAAUCAGCUUGUGUGUUAGUGGAACGGUCUGGAAAGUCCGACGGUACAGGGUGAUAGUCCCGUACACCAAAAUGCACAGGUUGUGAACUCGAAGAGUAGGGCGGGACACGUGGUAUCCUGUCUGAAUAUGGGGGGACCAUCCUCCAAGGCUAAAUACUCCUGACUGACCGAUAGUGAACCAGUACCGUGAGGGAAAGGCGAAAAGAACCCCGGCGAGGGGAGUGAAAAAGAACCUGAAACCGUGUACGUACAAGCAGUGGGAGCACCUUCGGGUGUGACUGCGUACCUUUUGUAUAAUGGGUCAGCGACUUAUAUUCUGUAGCAAGGUUAACCGUAUAGGGGAGCCGCAGGGAAACCGAGUCUUAACUGGGCGUUAAGUUGCAGGGUAUAGACCCGAAACCCGGUGAUCUAGCCAUGGGCAGGUUGAAGGUUGGGUAACACUAACUGGAGGACCGAACCGACUAAUGUUGAAAAAUUAGCGGAUGACUUGUGGCUGGGGGUGAAAGGCCAAUCAAACCGGGAGAUAGCUGGUUCUCCCCGAAAGCUAUUUAGGUAGCGCCUCGUGAACUCAUCUUCGGGGGUAGAGCACUGUUUCGGCUAGGGGGUCAUCCCGACUUACCAACCCGAUGCAAACUACGAAUACCGAAGAAUGUUAUCACGGGAGACACACGGCGGGUGCUAACGUCCGUCGUGAAGAGGGAAACAACCCAGACCGCCAGCUAAGGUCCCAAAGUCAUGGUUAAGUGGGAAACGAUGUGGGAAGGCACAGACAGCCAGGAUGUUGGCUUAGAAGCAGCCAUCAUUUAAAGAAAGCGUAAUAGCUCACUGGUCGAGUCGGCCUGCGCGGAAGAUGUAACGGGGCUAAACCAUGCACCGAAGCUGCGGCAGCGACACUAUGUGUUGUUGGGUAGGGGAGCGUUCUGUAAGCCUGCGAAGGUGUGCUGUGAGGCAUGCUGGAGGUAUCAGAAGUGCGAAUGCUGACAUAAGUAACGAUAAAGCGGGUGAAAAGCCCGCUCGCCGGAAGACCAAGGGUUCCUGUCCAACGUUAAUCGGGGCAGGGUGAGUCGACCCCUAAGGCGAGGCCGAAAGGCGUAGUCGAUGGGAAACAGGUUAAUAUUCCUGUACUUGGUGUUACUGCGAAGGGGGGACGGAGAAGGCUAUGUUAGCCGGGCGACGGUUGUCCCGGUUUAAGCAUGUAGGCUGGUUGUCCAGGCAAAUCCGGAUAAUCAAGGCUGAGGUGUGAUGACGAGGCACUACGGUGCUGAAGUAACAAAUGCCCUGCUUCCAGGAAAAGCCUCUAAGCAUCAGGUAACAUCAAAUCGUACCCCAAACCGACACAGGUGGUCAGGUAGAGAAUACCAAGGCGCUUGAGAGAACUCGGGUGAAGGAACUAGGCAAAAUGGUGCCGUAACUUCGGGAGAAGGCACGCUGGUGUGUAGGUGAAGUCCCUGCGGAUGGAGCUGAGACCAGUCGAAGAUACCAGCUGGCUGCAACUGUUUAUUAAAAACACAGCACUGUGCAAACACGAAAGUGGACGUAUACGGUGUGACGCCUGCCCGGUGCCGGAAGGUUAAUUGAUGGGGUUAGCGGUAACGCGAAGCUCUUGAUCGAAGCCCCGGUAAACGGCGGCCGUAACUAUAACGGUCCUAAGGUAGCGAAAUUCCUUGUCGGGUAAGUUCCGACCUGCACGAAUGGCGUAAUGAUGGCCAGGCUGUCUCCACCCGAGACUCAGUGAAAUUGAACUCGCUGUGAAGAUGCAGUGUACCCGCGGCAAGACGGAAAGACCCCGUGAACCUUUACUAUAGCUUGACACUGAACAUUGAGCCUUGAUGUGUAGGAUAGGUGGGAGGCUUUGAAGCGUGGACGCCAGUCUGCGUGGAGCCAACCUUGAAAUACCACCCUUUAAUGUUUGAUGUUCUAACGUUGGCCCCUGACCGGGGUUGCGGACAGUGUCUGGUGGGUAGUUUGACUGGGGCGGUCUCCUCCCAAAGCGUAACGGAGGAGCACGAAGGUUAGCUAAUCCUGGUCGGACAUCAGGAGGUUAGUGCAAUGGCAUAAGCUAGCUUGACUGCGAGCGUGACGGCGCGAGCAGGUGCGAAAGCAGGUCAUAGUGAUCCGGUGGUUCUGAAUGGAAGGGCCAUCGCUCAACGGAUAAAAGGUACUCCGGGGAUAACAGGCUGAUACCGCCCAAGAGUUCAUAUCGACGGCGGUGUUUGGCACCUCGAUGUCGGCUCAUCACAUCCUGGGGCUGAAGUAGGUCCCAAGGGUAUGGCUGUUCGCCAUUUAAAGUGGUACGCGAGCUGGGUUUAGAACGUCGUGAGACAGUUCGGUCCCUAUCUGCCGUGGGCGCUGGAGAAUUGAGGGGGGCUGCUCCUAGUACGAGAGGACCGGAGUGGACGCAUCACUGGUGUUCGGGUUGUCAUGCCAAUGGCACUGCCCGGUAGCUAAAUGCGGAAGAGAUAAGUGCUGAAAGCAUCUAAGCACGAAACUUGCCCCGAGAUGAGUUCU